AACGUAGGUACCGAGCGUUAUCCGGAUUUACUGGGCGUAAAGCGUGUUCAGGCGGCCUGGCAAGUCGGGCAUGAAAUCUCUCGGCUCAACCGAGAGAGGCUGUCCGAUACUGCUGGGCUUGAGGACGGUAGAGGGUGGUGGAAUUCCGCGUGUCGUGGUGAAAUGCGUAGAUAUGCGGAGGAACACCAGUGGCGAAGGCGGCCACCUGGACCGUCCCUGACGCUCAAACACGAAAGCUAGGGUAGCGAACGGG
rnacentral:rRNA from 1 species